AUGGACGAUCAGCGCUCGACGCCGGCACGCGGCGCCCGGACGAGCAGGAGCCACAGCGAGGCGGAGCGCAAGCGGCGGCAGCGCAUCAACACCCACCUCGCCACGCUGCGCAGCCUCCUCCCGUCGGCCUCCCAGAUGGACAAGGCGGCGCUGCUGGGCGAGGUGGUGCGGCACGUGCGCGAGCUGCGGGGCGACGCGGACGGCGGCGCGGUGGCGGGCGUGGCGGUGCCGGGGGAGAGCGACGAGGUGGGGGUGGAGGAGGAGCGCUGGGACGCGCGGGAGAGCGCCAAGCGCGUCAGGGCGUGGGUGUGCUGCGCCGACCGCCCGGGGCUCAUGUCCGAGCUGGGCCGCGCCGUGCGCUCCGUCAGCGCCAGGGCGGUGCGCGCGGAGAUCGCCACCGUCGGCGGGAGGACGCGGAGCGUCCUGGAGCUGGAGGCCGGGCAGGCCGCCGGCGCGUCCCGGCCGGCGCUGCACGCGGCGCUCCGCGCCGUGCUGCUCAGCCGGGAGGACGAGCUGCUCGCCGUGGAGGGCUACAAGAGGCAGCGCUUCUCGGCGCUCAUCUCCCAGGGUUUAGGCAGCUAG
rnacentral:rRNA from 1 species